rnacentral:piRNA from 1 species
GCAGCUAGAUCCCCGGUGCUUUUUGU